AUCAUUUCUCAGUCUUUUGGCUGAGAACUAAAUGGUAUCUGUUCUCAUUAGUUUAAUACCUGACACAUCCUCUAUCCCACGACAACAUAUUAAGUGGGUUUUUGGAGCAGAGCUUGCUCCAUGUACUCCAUGCAUCUACCUGGUAUUGCAGUACCUCUCAGACUGGUGUAACAUAC
rnacentral:snRNA from 1 species